UGGAGGAAAGUAGGGGAUCGCAAGACCUUGCGCUUUUGGAGUGGCCGAUGCCUGAUUAGCUAGUUGGUGGGGUAAGAGCCUACCAAGGCGACGAUCAGUAGUUGGUCUGAGAGGACGACCAGCCACACUGGGACUGAGACACGGCCCAGACUCCUACGGGAGGCAGCAGUGGGGAAUUUUGGACAAUGGGCGAAAGCCUGAUCCAGCAAUGCCGCGUGAGUGAAGAAGGCCUUCGGGUUGUAAAGCUCUUUCAGUCGAGAAGAAAAGGUUGCGACUAAUAAUCACAACUUAUGACGGUAUCGACAGAAGAAGCACCGGCUAACUACGUGCCAGCAGCCGCGGUAAUACGUAGGGUGCGAGCGUUAAUCGGAAUUACUGGGCGUAAAGGGUGCGCAGGCGGCUCUGUAAGUCAGAUGUGA
rnacentral:rRNA from 1 species